UGAGUGACUCUGUAACCCUGAGUGAGUGACUCUACCUUUGGAUGCCUCAGUCAUCUUCUCUGUAAGGUGGGAAGAAUUGUACCACCUCCUAUUCCACUUACAUGGUAUCAGGAAGAUGUUAUUUGUUUUUAAAAGGAAAAAAAGAACUUAAAAACACUCUCGGUUACUCUGCAAAGAGGUUGUUGUAAAUGUGAAGUGUCACUAUUAUUAAGUGCGAGGCGAUCCUUCCCACCCCCAUCAUGUUCCAGCGCUACAACGUGAGCUGUGUGACAGGCUAUUUUUAAAUUCCCAUCUCUGGAAGCAUAUGGUCCUGCACAGUGCCAAAAAGAGAAAAAUGACCUGCUUCGGUUUGUUUGCUUGUUUGUUUUGAUCCGAUGGAGCAUUUUCUAUGUUCCUGUUAAAGGCUGUUCUUUCUACUUUAAACUUUGAAGGCUCUCUGUGUUCUCUCAACUUCUGGUGCAAUGGAGAAGUCGGGAGAUGGUGCUUGAAUCCUGACUCUGUCACAAGCUGGCUGUGUGACCCUGGGAAAGCCACUUCUCUGCUCCGAGCCUAGUUGCUCAUUUGUAAAACGAAGAGGUGGAAGCUGUGAUUGC
rnacentral:lncRNA from 13 species